rnacentral:lncRNA from 1 species
AAUAAGUAACGAAUAAGGAAUAAGUAAUAAGUAACGAAUAGGGAAUAGGGAAUUAGUAACGAAUAGGUAACGAAUAGGGAAUAGGGAGUUAGUAACGAAUAGGUAACGAAUAGGGAAUAGGGAUUAGUAACCGAAUAGGGCGAAUCAAGUUAAUAGUAACGAAUAGGGAAUAGGAAAUAGUUAACGAAUAGGGGAAUAGGUACGAAUAGGGAAUAGGCUAACGAAUAGGUAACCGAUAGGGAGAUAGGGAGUUAAGUAACGCAAUAGGUAACGAAUAGGCAUAGGUAACGAAUAGGUACGAAUGGGAUAGGUAACGAAUGGGUCAACGAAUCAGGGAAUAGGGAAUAGUAACGAAUAGGUAACGAAUAGGGAAUAGGGAGUUAGUAACGAAUAGGUAACGAAUAGGGAAUAGGGAAUAGGUAACGAAUAGGUAACGAAUAGGUAACGAAUAGGGAAUAGGUAACGAAUAGGGAAUAGGGAAUAUGUAACGAAUAGGGAAUAGGAAAUUAGUAACGAAUAGGGAAUAGGGAAUUAGUAACGAAUAAGUAACGAAUAGGGAAUAGGGAAUUAGUAACGAAUAUGUAACGAAUAGGGAAUAAGUAAUAAGUAACGAAUAGGGAAUAGGGAAUAGGUAAUGAAUAGGGAAUUAGUAACGAAUAGGUAACGAAUAGGGAAUAGGGAAUUAGUAACAAAUAGGUAACGAAUAGGGAAUAGGGAGUUAGUAAGGAAUAGGUAACGAAUAGGGAAUAGGGAAUGAAUAGGUAACGAAUAGGGAAUAGGGAAUAGGUAACGAAUAGGGAAUAGGAAUUAGUAACGAAUAGGUAACGAAUAGGGAAUAGGGAAUUAGUAACGAAUAGGUAACGAAUAGGGAAUAGGGAAUAGGUAACGAAUAGGUUAGGAAUAGGGAAUAGGUAACGAAUAGGGAAUAGGGAGUUAGUAACGAAUAGGUAACGAAUAGGGAAUAGGGAAUAGGGAAUUAGUAACGAAUAGGUAACGAAUAGGGAAUAGGGAGUUAGUAACGAAUAGGUAACGAUUAGGGAAUAGGGAAUAGGUAACGAAUAGGGAAUAGGGAAUAGGUAACGAAUAUGGAAUAGGGAAUAAGUAACCAACUUGACGUCCAUUUAUUAGCACAUAUAUCAGUUUCAAUCUGAAAUUUAAAAUAAAACUUGAAUAAUUCGGAUUCAUUAUAAUUUGUAAGGUUCUUAAUAUGCUAAUUCCGUGGGUGGAAGUAAAAAGCCACGAAUCAAAAAUGUUAUAAAUAAAAUACACAAAUUUACUGUAGACUUGUGUGAAGAAUUCAUAACCAUGCAAUCAGAUAUUCUCAAAACGAUUUUUUUUUUCUUCAUUCCAAGAGAAUUGGUACUCAUCGAAAUGAAAUAAAGCCAAAUUAAUACAGAAGAAAAAGAAGAUACCUUAUUUCCAAUCAUGGGCCCAAAAGAGCAUAAACAUUACAACAUCAAUAAUUUGCAUAAUACCAGAGACAUAUAACGUCUCUGAUAAUACUAUUCAAACAAUGAGAUAAAGAUAACAAACAAGCAGCCCAAAAUGAAAAAAAAAACGUGUUAAGAGAGAGCCAUAUGUCUUGCACGUUAAAAUCUACACCUUUGUAGAUUUCGAAAAAGACAAGGCUAAUGCCGCUACAAGGCAGCACUCGCACCCGCAAAGUGGAAAGGGAUUAAUAUAAGUUGUAAACUUGUUUCCCAAUCCACUAUAAAUAAAUAUGUCUUAAAGGCUAACUGAAAAAGAUAUAUGGAAUUAGUAACGAAUAGGAAUAGGGAAUUAGUAACGAAUAGGUAACGAAUAGGGAAUAGGAGUUAGUAACGAAUAGGUAACGAAUAGGUAACAAAUAGGGAAUAGGGAAUAGGUAACGAAUAGGGAAUAGGUAACGAAUAGGGAGUAGGGAAUAGGUAACGAAUAGGGAAUAGGGAAUUAGUAACGAAUAGGUAACGAAUAGGGAUUAUGGUAACGAAUAGGUAAACGAAUAGGGAAUGGAAUUAGUAACGAAUAGGUAACGAAUAGGGAAUAGGGAAUAGGUAACGAAUAGGGAACGAAUAGGAUAUAGGGAAUUAGUAACGAAUAGGUAACAAAUAGGGAAUAGGGAAUUAGUAACGAAUAGGUAACGAAUAGGAAUAGGGAGUUAGUAACGAAUAGGUAACGAAUAGGGAAUAGGUAACGAAUAGGUAACAAAAUAGGAAAGGGAAGGUAGGUAACGAAUAGGUAACGAAUAGGGAAUAGGUAACGAAUAGGUAACGAAUAGGUAACGGAUAGGGAAUAGGUAACGAAUAGGGAAUAGGUAACGAAUAGGUAACGAGUAGGGAGUAGGGAAUAGGGAAUAGGUAACGAAUACGGAAUAGGAAAUUAGUAACGAAUAGGUAACGAAUAGGGAAUAGGGAAUUAGUAACGAAUAGGUAACGAAUAGGUAACGAAUAGGGAAUAGGGAAUAGGUAACGAAUAGGG